AACGAACGCUGGCGGCAGGCUUAACACAUGCAAGUCGAGCGCCCCGCAAGGGGAGCGGCAGACGGGUGAGUAACGCGUGGGAACCUACCUUUUGGUACGGAAUAACUCAGGGAAACUUGAGCUAAUACCGUAUAAGCCCUGACUUUUAAUCGGGUCUGGGGAAAGAUUCAUCGCCAAAGGAUGGGCCCGCGUAGGAUUAGCUAGUUGGUGGGGUAAUGGCCUACCAAGGCGACGAUCCGUAGCUGGUCUGAGAGGAUGAUCAGCCACACUGGGACUGAGACACGGCCCAGACUCCUACGGGAGGCAGCAGUGGGGAAUAUUGGACAAUGGGGGCAACCCUGAUCCAGCCAUGCCGCGUGAGUGAUGAAGGCCUUAGGGUUGUAAAGCUCUUUCGCCGGUGAAGAUAAUGACGGUAACCGGAGAAGAAGCCCCGGCUAACUUCGUGCCAGCCGCCGCGGUAACAC
rnacentral:rRNA from 1 species